CAAUAGGUGGAGUUGUUGCCCAGCGGACUUUUUUUUUUUUGCCUUUCUGGCGCAACAACAAAUGAUUUUUCAAUCGCUUCGGGAGUUAGGAACGAGUCAAGGGCGAAAACGACGCUAGAAAAAAAGAAAACCCGGAGUUGAUGAACGAUUGCGCCAUCGACAGGAGAAACCCGAAAUCGUUUUACCCCUCGUCUCGAACGCUUUUGUUUUAUUCAUCCUUUUUGAAUUCUCAGGUUGUGGGCGUUUGCUUUUUAAAGACCAGCCAAGGAAAUCGAAUAAAUUGUGAACCGUUCGGACAGCACCGACGAGAAAGUUGGUAACGACGUAAAAAUCUUGGAACAAUGUAUUCGUAAUGUUUUCCUUUUAAUAGCAAGAGCAAAGCAAAAGAGCCAAUGUCUAAAAUAUGUUAACAAAAUGCAAAUGGACCCGCCUCGUCCGGUUAUGUUUAUUUUUUGUUUUCGUUUCACCUAGCAAUUUUUUUUUUUCUUUAACUUUAUUUUGGUGUUGAAAUGGGGAAAGCUGGCAGUUCUUCUUUCUUAUAAUAAGAAUACCAAAUUUCUCUUUGGCUUUUCUCUAUUCGGGUGCACGUUCUUAUUGUUGUUUUCUUCGUUCAACUCUUACUGCACGAUAGUUUAAGACGUCAAUUCGAAUGCGCAAUCCCUACAGCAUCGGGCUAAUAGCUUUCGUGGCAGAGUUGCUGACCCACACCUGGUAACCUAGAAUCGCUUGACGUGAUCGUUCGCCUCCAGGUCGGCAAAUUUUCUUUUUGCGUGCGAAUAAAAAUGAAAUUAAAAAGUUAACGAAACGAAUCAGGAAACCUUGACAUAUGUUGGUAGCAAUAAAAAAAAAAUUCGACAUUCACACAGUGUGGGACACGUAUAUUUAUUUAAGAAUAAAUUAGUGAAAUAUGUAUUUCGUUUGAUUUCACUUGAAACGCACACAUUUCUCUUUUGUUGCUUUCGUUGUCUAGUAAAAAAAAAAAAAUAAUAACUACAUAUAGGGCGUCGUGAUUUCUUC